UCCCCCGUGAGGGGGCAGUCUCGCCAGACACUUGUAACUGGCAAUGAGGGUUGCGCUCGUUACCCCACUGAAGGGAACAGUUCAAACCACGAGCUGACGACGGCCAUGCAUCACCUGUCCAGCCGCCCGAAGGCCCUUAAAGUUUCCUAAAAGGUUCGUCUGGAUUUCUAAUCUUGGUGAGGUUCUUCGUUUGUCAUCGAAUUGAGCCACAUAAUCCACUGCUUGUGCAAGCCCCCGUCUAUUCCUUUGAGUUUUAAUCUUGCGAUCGUACUACCCAGGCGGUUCCCUUAACGCGUUAGCUUCGCCUCUCAGAGGGUCGAUACUCCGAAAAGCCAGGGAACAUAGUUUAGGGCGUGGACUAC
rnacentral:misc_RNA from 1 species